AAACUUGGCUAGAAAUCCCAGGGCUAUUAGAAUCUGCUUCAGGAAUCUCCAUUCCAGUGUAUCAUAUGCUUUCCUUAGGUCCACUUUAAGAACACAUCUAGGAGAGACACCUUUCCUAGAAUAUCCUUUGAAAAUUUCAUGGCUAAGUAGGAUGUUAUCCAUAAUACCCCUUCCUUCAAUAAAUGCAGAUUGGGUAGGCCCAAUCAAUUCUCCAAUCACAGCCUUCAUC
rnacentral:lncRNA from 1 species